CGCGUUUUUGGAGGAAAGCAGGGGAUCGCAAGACCUUGCGCUUUUGGAGCGGCCGAUGUCUGAUUAGCUAGUUGGUAGGGUAAAGGCUUACCAAGGCAACGAUCAGUAGUUGGUCUGAGAGGACGACCAGCCACACUGGGACUGAGACACGGCCCAGACUCCUACGGGAGGCAGCAGUGGGGAAUUUUGGACAAUGGGCGAAAGCCUGAUCCAGCCAUGCCGCGUGAGUGAAGAAGGCCUUCGGGUUGUAAAGCUCUUUCAGUCGAGAAGAAAAAAUUGCGACUAAUAAUCGCAAUUCAUGACGGUAUCGACAGAAGAAGCACCGGCUAACUACGUGCCAGCAGCCGCGGUAAUACGUAGGGUGCAAGCGUUAAUCGGAAUUACUGGGCGUAAAGGGUGCGCAGGCGGCCUUGUAAGUCAGAUGUGA
rnacentral:rRNA from 1 species